UGCAAGCCUUGGUCUUACCACAAUGGUGGUUCUUGGCCAACUCUGUUAUGCUUACUGUUGCAGCCAUAAAGAUGAAAAGACCAGAAAUCAUUGCAAAAGUUGUUGAAGUUGCUGAAAGACACGUAUCAAGAGAUAAGUGACCUGAAUACUAUGACACAAAAAGAAGGUUCAUCUAGAAGCAAGCACGGUUAUUCCAAACAUGGUCAAUUGCUGGAUACCUUGUGGCUAAGCUUCUAUUUGCAAUCCCAAGUGCAGCCAAAAUUCUGAUAACUGAAGGGGCUUCUGAGCUUGACAAUGCCUUCUCUUUCAUGAUAAGAAGAGUUAAUCAACUGGUAAUUGAGAGUGAUGGAGAAGACAGUGUGUACAGGUGUAUGUAUAUAUAUACAAAGUGAAAUGACGGUUACAUAGAGUGGAGUAACUGAUAGUAAGUUGUUCACCAUUUUCUUUCACGAGGAAACAAAAUUGCAGUCUCCUACGCAUAUAACUCUCUGUUCUCUGAUCUGUAAACCACUCAUCAUUCAUAAACAUUUUCUAUGUCAUGUGUUCA